rnacentral:misc_RNA from 1 species
GAAAUGCGAUAAGUAAUGUGAAUUGCAGAAUUCAGUGAAUCAUCGAAUCUUUGAACGCACAUUGCGCCCGGUGGCAUUCCGCCGGGCAUGCCUGUUCGAGCGUCAUUUAACCCCCUCCAGCCCCCCGCUGGGUCUUGGGCCUCUCGCCGCACGGCGGGCCUCAAAAUCAGUGGCGGUGCCGCCCGGCUCUACGCGUAGUAAUGCUCCUCGCGAUAGACGUCGGACGGUCCCUGUCAGAAACCCACACUUUUCAGGUUGACCUCGGAUCAGGUAGGGAUACCCGCUGAACUUAA